AGGACGAACGCUGGCGGCGUGCCUAACACAUGCAAGUCGAACGCGCUCCAUUCGGUAGCAAUACUGAUGAAGAGUGAGUGGCGAACGGGUGAGUAACACAUGAGCAACCUGCCCCGAAGACUGGGACAACACCGGGAAACCGGUGCUAAUACCGGAUAUCCCUAUCGGACCGCAUGAUCUGAUAAGGAAAUGGAUUCCGCUUCGGGAGGGGCUCGUGGCCUAUCAGCUAGUUGGUGAGGUAACGGCUCACCAAGGCAUCGACGGGUAGCUGGUCUGAGAGGACGAUCAGCCACACUGGGACUGAGACACGGCCCAGACUCCUACGGGAGGCAGCAGUGGGGAAUCUUGCGCAAUGGGCGAAAGCCUGACGCAGCAACGCCGCGUGGAGGACGAAGGCUUUCUGAGUUGUAAACUCCUUUCAGCAGGGACGAUAGUGACGGUACCUGCAGAAGAAGCACCGGCCAACUACGCGCCAGCACGG
rnacentral:rRNA from 1 species